rnacentral:rRNA from 1 species
CACCGGCGCCACAAGUGGUGAUCAUAUUUAUUGGGUCUAAAGCGUCCGUAGCCUGUUUGGUAAAUUCUUUGUGAAAUUGUUGAGCUUAACUUAACAGCUUGCAAAGAACACUGCCUGACUUGAGACCGGGAGGGGAUAGAGGUAUUCCAUGGGGAGCGGUAAAAUGCAAUAAUCCUUGGAAGACCACCAGUGGCGAAGGCUUCUAUCCAGAACGGGUCUGACGGUGAGGGACGAAGGCUAGGGGAGCAAA